GGCUACACACGAGGCUAACUUAUUCUCCUUACUCGGGUUUGAUACCCCUAACUCGCAAUUUUUUUUUUAGUUUUUUCUUCUUCUUCUCCUCCGGGUGUUCGUUGAGAAAUCAAAAUUGGAGAGAAAUCCAGAGUCAAGGGUCGAAGAAGCUUCUCAUGAUUCGGAUCUGCUAUUUGAAAAGGUUGAAAGAGAAGAGCUUCUUUGUAGAAAGAGUUUGGGGAGAGUUCCAAGUUCCAACAUGGGCGGAUUGAGGUGGAGGAGGUGAAAGAAGUGGAGUUACAGAAGGUGGAAGGCAAGAAGGAGGCGUUGGAGGUGGAGGAAGUGGAGUUACAGAAGGUGGAGGGCAAGAAGGAGGCGUUGGAGGUGGAGAUGAGGUGAUUGGCGGAUCUGUUAAGAACCACCGGCGAAAAUAAGAAAAGGGCCUUACUAGGGAUUCGAACUCGGGUUAAUAGGGUUAAGUGACCUUGCUAAAUACCACUAGGGUACGGUAAUAAAUUUCGUUUAGUGUAGACAAACAAUUAUAUAUAUAUAUAUAUAUAUAUAUAUAUA